rnacentral:rRNA from 1 species
GACGAACGCUGGCGGCGUGCCUAAUACAUGCAAGUUGAGCGAUGAUGAUUGGUGCUUGCACCAAUUUGAAGAGCAGCGAACGGGUGAGUAACGCGUGGGGAAUCUGCCUUUGAGCGGGGGACAACAUUUGGAAACGAAUGCUAAUACCGCAUAACAACUUUAAACAUAAGUUUUAAGUUUGAAAGAUGCAAUUGCAUCACUCAAAGAUGACCCCGCGUUGUAUUAGCUAGUUGGUGAGGUAAAGGCUCACCAAGGCGAUGAUACAUAGCCGACCUGAGAGGGUGAUCGGCCACAUUGGGACUGAGACACGGCCCAAACUCCUACGGGAGGCAGCAGUAGGGAAUCUUCGGCAAUGGACGAAAGUCUGACCGAGCAACGCCGCGUGCGUGAAGAAGGUUGUCGGAUCGUAGAGAUCGGUUGGUAGAGAAGACCGUUGGUGAGAGUAUAAAGCUCAUCAAGUGACGGUAACUACCCAGAAAGGGACGGCUAACUCCGUG